UACAGAGGGUGCAAACGUUGUUCGGAAUUACUGGGCGUAAAGGGCGCGUAGGCGGCCUUCUAAGUCGAACGUGAAAUCCCUGGGCUCAACCCAGGAACUGCGUCCGAUACUGGGGGGCUUGAAUCCGGGAGAGGGAUGCGGAAUUCCAGGUGUAGCGGUGAAAUGCGUAGAUAUCUGGAGGAACACCGGUGGCGAAGGCGGCAUCCUGGACCGACAUUGACGCUGAUGCGCGAAAGCUAGGGGAGCAAACGGG
rnacentral:rRNA from 1 species